AUCCACGGCCAUACCACCCUGAAUUCGCCUGAUCUCGUCUGAUCUUGGAAGCUAAGCAGGGUCAGGCCUUGUUAGUACUUGGAUGGGAGAAAGAUAGAUCAGAUAUUGAAA
rnacentral:rRNA from 1 species